rfam:Ictidomys tridecemlineatus contig060662, whole genome shotgun sequence.
UGGGCUGUGGCUCAGUGGUAGAGUGCUCACCUAGCAUGUGUAAGGCCCUGGGUUCUAUCCUCAGUACCACAU